rnacentral:rRNA from 1 species
UACAGAGGUCUCAAGCGUUGUUCGGAUUCAUUGGGCGUAAAGGGUGCGUAGGCGGCGCGGUAAGUCGGGUGUGAAAUUUCGAGGCUUAACUUCGAAACUGCAUUCGAUACUGCCGUGCUUGAGGACUGGAGAGGAGACUGGAAUUUACGGUGUAGCGGUGAAAUGCGUAGAUAUCCGGAGGAACACCGGUGGCGAAGGCGGCUUCCUGGACCGACACUGACGCUGAGGCGCGAAAGCUAGGGGAGCAAACGGG